AUUGAACGCUGGCGGCAGGCCUAACACAUGCAAGUCGAGCGGAUGAAGGGAGCUUGCUCCUGGAUUCAGCGGCGGACGGGUGAGUAAUGCCUAGGAAUCUGCCUGGUAGUGGGGGAUAACGUCCGGAAACGGGCGCUAAUACCGCAUACGUACUGAGGGAGAAAGUGGGGGAUCUUCGGACCUCACGCUAUCAGAUGAGCCUAGGUCGGAUUAGCUAGUUGGUGGGGUAAAGGCCUACCAAGGCGACGAUCCGUAACUGGUCUGAGAGGAUGAUCAGUCACACUGGAACUGAGACACGGUCCAGACUCCUACGGGAGGCAGCAGUGGGGAAUUUUGGACAAUGGGCGAAAGCCUGAUCCAGCCAUGCCGCGUGUGUGAAGAAGGUCUUCGGAUUGUAAAGCACUUUAAGUUGGGAGGAAGGGCAGUAAGUUAAUACCUGGCUGUUUUGACGUUACCAACAGAAUAAGCACCGGCUAACUUCGUG
rnacentral:rRNA from 1 species